rnacentral:lncRNA from 1 species
AUGGGGAAGAGGCUGCCCUCGGGGCCGCAGGCACAACAUCCCUCAUCGGCAGGGCUGCAGAAGCUUGGGAAAAGGAUCUGGGUUCCCCCGAGCCCGUGCCCAGCCCCACGCUGCUGUGCCGCAGCAGGAUCAGAGAACACUAUUAAAAUAAUGUCAUGUUACCUAUCAAUAAUAAAUGACCAGAAUAAAUUCGCUGCUCCGCGCUUAAUAACCCUGCCCGAUUUCCAUUUAAAUAUCUGCAAAGAAACGGGCCCUCAUCCGGAGAGCCUCUCAGAUGGAUGCAAGUGCUGCAUUUUGCAGAGGGAGCCCGGGAGGAACUGGCCCAACUUUUACUGGGAAAAUGCUUUUCUCCUGCCGCAGGACCAAACAGCAGCAGGGGGGGGGGAAGAGAAGCUCGGGAGAGAUGAGAUAAGCCCAGUACCAGCGCUGUGCUCCUGUUUAGAUGCAGCUGAGCGUCUCCAGCCCCAGCUCUCAACCUGCUGCUUGUGCUCCAUAAUGACCGCUGCUGCACAGCCCCGGCUCCCCUGCCCAGCAGCAUUAUCGGCACUUCAUGCCGAGGGACAGGACCUGGGGCUGCGGCCAGGAGAAGUGCAGCAGAGCAGCAGCGAAGCUGUUCUGGGGAUGCUCCCAGCUCACAAGAGGCUGCAGCAGAGCCCCCAGCUGGGAUUUGCAGGUGUUGGCUCCUUAAGGGUGAUGGAGAGCGGUCCCUGGUGUGAAAGGCACAUCUCAGCCACAGGAGCUGGCCCAAAAAAAAAUCAUUUCCACCACUGCAAAGUGGGGCAGGAGCAGUUCCCACUGCAGAGCCCUCAGAACCCCUUGCACCAGCACCAGGCAGGGGUUGGAGCCCCCAGGGAGCUGCACUGCAGCAGCACAGGGGCAGGGCAGGAGGUGCAGCCCCUGGAGACCCCACAGACCUCCCCAACACCAGCAGCCCGAAAUUCUCGGGCAGGGAAGGCCAGGCUCAGCCCAUCCGUCCUGAAACGGGGCAAAUGCAGUGCCUGGGGGCAGCACAGGGGCACAUCCAGAGCCCGUGCCCCCAGCACCACGCACGGACCCCAGCCGGGCACCCUCCCGGCCGUGCAGCCCCGCGUGUCGGCGGCCUCGUUGCGUGCGUUUCGCUUUGCUUUUCAAACAUGCCAAAGCAGACUGCUUCCCUCCCGUCGCUCUCAGAUGUGGUUGAAUUGUUUUAGCCAAAACUUCCCAAAUACAAAGUUUCAACCUAAAGCAGACGCUGCCCACAGAAAGUUUUUUUCCCCCCAAGCUAAGAGCAAAGUUGUAAGCAAUAAAAAAAAAAAACUGGAUUUAAUAAUGGGAAAUAUUCAUUAUUCUUGCACACAGGCCUCUGAAGUCAAACCACCCUUGUAG